GGCAUCAAGCAUAGGCAUUAAAACCUGUCACAAGGUCUGACCUUAAUGCAACCUGAGAAGGAGAGAUCUUUAACACUGCAAGGUUAAGACCACAAAAUAUCUAGAAUUAUGACCACAACUACAGCUAUCUGUAACCUGUGUUAACUGAAGUAGAAGCUUCUUACUCCAGAGAGUCCUUUUCAGGGACAGGAAACAUCACACCUGCAUCAGGGAUACUGCUCCAUCAGGACAGGUCUCUGUUCUACCUGAUGGCCCAGACUCAGCCUCAGGUUCUGGACCUGGAUCCCUAAGGGGUCAUCAGGUCUUGCUGUCUCUAGACUUGAUCUGGUCACCUUCCUUGGGGAAGUUAAGAGCCCUGGCACAUGAAAAGAAAGAAGACAGUACCACACACCCAGGGAUCUGAAUUCCAGUCAUGCGAAGAGGAAGCUUCCAAGAGACAGUCUUCAAAGGAAGGAACAAAACCCCGAGUGUGGUUUGGGAAGUCUGGAAGGAGUUAUCCUCACCCAAGAGGAGGAGGUGUCCAUAGUUCUCUAACAUGACAUCUCUAUAGAGCUCCCGCUGACUGUGGUUCAGGAAACCCCACUCUUCCUGAGAGAAUUCUAUGGCCACAUCGUUGAAGGUCAGCAGUUCCUGCAA